ensembl:snRNA U2 U2 spliceosomal RNA
UUCAGAGCCUAUCUUUGAGAACUUUAUAUUAAAUGGAUUUUUGAAGAAGGGAGGUGGAAGAGGAGCUUGCUCCAUCCACUCCAUGCAUCAACCUGGUAUUUCAGUGUUUCCAGGAAUGGUGC